AGGGUGUAAACGCUGCAGACUUGGUGUUGGGAACCCUUCGGGGGUGCUCAGUGCCGGAGAGAAGUUGUUAAGUCUGCUACUUGGGGAGUACGUCCGCAAGGAUGAAACUUAAAGGAAUUGGCGGGGGAGCACCGCAACGGGAGGAGCGUGCGGUUUAAUUGGAUUCAACGCCGAAAAACUCACCGGAUAGGACAGCAGAAUGAUUGCCGGGCUGAAGACCCUGCAUGACUAGCUGAGAGGUGGUGCAUGGCGUCCAGUGACU
rnacentral:rRNA from 1 species